ACAACCCACCCCUUGUUAACUUG
rnacentral:misc_RNA from 1 species